CAAAGCAUAGCACUGAAGAUGCUAAGACGUUGCUUUUUGCAUCCAGGGACA
rnacentral:tRNA from 1 species